UUAGCGGCGGACGGGUGAGUAACACGUGGAUAACCUACCUAUAAGACUGGGAUAACUUCGGGAAACCGGAGCUAAUACCGGAUAAUAUUUUGAACCGCAUGGUUCAAAAGUGAAAGACGGUCUUGCUGUCACUUAUAGAUGGAUCCGCGCUGCAUUAGCUAGUUGGUAAGGUAACGGCUUACCAAGGCAACGAUGCAUAGCCGACCUGAGAGGGUGAUCGGCCACACUGGAACUGAGACACGGUCCAGACUCCUACGGGAGGCAGCAGUAGGGAAUCUUCCGCAAUGGGCGAAAGCCUGACGGAGCAACGCCGCGUGAGUGAUGAAGGUCUUCGGAUCGUAAAACUCUGUUAUUAGGGAAGAACAUAUGUGUA
rnacentral:rRNA from 1 species